AACGAACGCUGGCGGCAGGCCUAACACAUGCAAGUCGAACGCUCCGCAAGGAGAGUGGCAGACGGGUGAGUAACACGUGGGAAUCUUCCUAUCGGUACGGAAUAGCUCAGGGAAACUUGAGGUAAUACCGCAUACGCCCUUCGGGGGAAAGAUUUAUCGCCGAUAGAUGAGCCCGCGUCUGAUUAGCUAGUUGGUGGGGUAAUGGCCUACCAAGGCGACGAUCAGUAGCUGGUCUGAGAGGAUGACCAGCCACACUGGGACUGAGACACAGCCCAGACUCCUACGGGAGGCAGCAGUGGGGAAUAUUGGACAAUGGGCGCAAGCCUGAUCCAGCCAUGCCGCGUGAGUGACGAAGGUCUUCGGAUUGUAAAGCUCUUUUGCCAGGGACGAUAAUGACGGUACCUGGAGAAUAAGCCCCGGCUAACUUCGUGCCAGCCGCCGCAGUAACAC
rnacentral:rRNA from 1 species